rnacentral:rRNA from 2 species
UUCCCCCAGUAGCGGCGAGCGAACGGGGAGGAGCCCAGAGCCUGAAUCAGUGUGUGUGUUAGUGGAAGCGUCUGGAAAGGCGCGCGAUACAGGGUGACAGCCCCGUACACAAAAAUGCACAUAUUGUGAGCUCGAUGAGUAGGGCGGGACACGUGGUAUCCUGUCUGAAUAUGGGGGGACCAUCCUCCAAGGCUAAAUACUCCUGACUGACCGAUAGUGAACCAGUACCGUGAGGGAAAGGCGAAAAGAACCCCGGCGAGGGGAGUGAAAAAGAACCUGAAACCGUGUACGUACAAGCAGUGGGAGCCUCUUAAUGGGGUGACUGCGUACCUUUUGUAUAAUGGGUCAGCGACUUAUAUUCUGUAGCAAGGUUAACCGAAUAGGGGAGCCGAAGGGAAACCGAGUCUUAACUGGGCGUUAAGUUGCAGGGUAUAGACCCGAAACCCGGUGAUCUAGCCAUGGGCAGGUUGAAGGUUGGGUAACACUAACUGGAGGACCGAACCGACUAAUGUUGAAAAAUUAGCGGAUGACUUGUGGCUGGGGGUGAAAGGCCAAUCAAACCGGGAGAUAGCUGGUUCUCCCCGAAAGCUAUUUAGGUAGCGCCUCGUGAAUUCAUCUCCGGGGGUAGAGCACUGUUUCGGCAAGGGGGUCAUCCCGACUUACCAACCCGAUGCAAACUGCGAAUACCGGAGAAUGUUAUCACGGGAGACACACGGCGGGUGCUAACGUCCGUCGUGAAGAGGGAAACAACCCAGACCGCCAGCUAAGGUCCCAAAGUCAUGGUUAAGUGGGAAACGAUGUGGGAAGGCCCAGACAGCCAGGAUGUUGGCUUAGAAGCAGCCAUCAUUUAAAGAAAGCGUAAUAGCUCACUGGUCGAGUCGGCCUGCGCGGAAGAUGUAACGGGGCUAAACCAUGCACCGAAGCUGCGGCAGCGACACUAUGUGUUGUUGGGUAGGGGAGCG